rnacentral:lncRNA from 1 species
CGCGUACGGUGCAUGCAUCACACAGGAUUCUUUUCAACCAAACCGCGUUACUGUUCAUCCGGGUCAAACCGUGUUACUGUUCAUCCGCGUGGUCAAACCGUGGACUGUUGACUGAUGACGUGGCGCAAUCCUGAGCGUCCAAACUGUUUUUAAUCCGAUGGCCAUGAUUUACUCCAUGUAUCUAUAAAAAGGGGGCCUUCCCCCCCUAAUUUGAUAGCUCUGAAUCCAUUUUUGGGAUCCAUUUUCUGUAGUUC